CUGACGCUGAGGCACGAAAGCGUGGGGAGCAAACAGGAUUAGAUACCCUGGUAGUCCACGCCCUAAACGAUGAGUGCUGAAUGUUAGAUGCUUUUCGCCCUUUAGUGCCGCAGCUAACGCAUUAAGUUCUCCGCCUGGGGAGUACGGUCGCAAGACUGAAACUCAAAGGAAUUGACGGGGGCCCGCACAAGCGGUGGAGUAUGUGGUUUAAUUCGAUGCAACGCGAAGAACCUUACCUGGUCUUGACAUCCUGUGAGCUCUCUAGAGAUAGAUUGUUCCCCUUCGGAA
rnacentral:rRNA from 1 species